GGGAGGCGAAGCUCGCGCGCGCGCCCCACCUCACCUCCGCCAGUCGAGAAGGGGGGGGGCGAGACGGGGACGGGGGGGGCGAGCGCUGCACCUGGCCGGCCUCGGGGAGGACAUCACCGCGCCGCCCGCUCCCUUCGCCGGUAGGAUGUGACUUUUUUUUUUUGUUUUUUUCCGCCCCCUGCCGAAAGGAAACGAGGAGAAACGCGAGUCGCGCGAGAUUUUAAACGGGCGGCGGAAGGGGGGGGCGCGUAGAGACCCCUCCCCCAUCACCUGCAUCGCCUCCCGCUUCCCUUUUUCCCCGGGCCGUUGCAAAGGCGCAUCCUUUCCUUUCUCCCCCCACCCCCAUCCCCGCCUUCCCGGGGACCCUUUCCAACGCGUGGCUGGAAAGAUCAGCGUGCUUGUGUGGAGAGGACCAAAGUAAACAGUUUUACCCCUUUGCUUUACGAGAAGCGAAAACUUUUCUCCGACGGAAAAGUUCUGGAAAGUGAGGACUGAAUUCCGAGUUUUUCAUUCCGGCGGGGUUACUUUUCCUUACUUUAUGUGAAAGCCGCAAUUUACCAUACGGGAAUUUGCAAAUUGCCACCUAGAAUACUUCUUCUUCUGUGCCAUAUCUGUCAUCCAACAUUGGCGAUCAUGUUGCCGAUCCUACUUUUAUCAACAAGCCACACGAAAAAGUGCUGCUGAGUUUUGUCCAAACCAAUCCCUUAGAUUACAGAAUGUGGAAACCAGAAUCAUAUACACAGUCUUGGCAUCAUGCCACUCUACCAGCAGAAUAACUCCAAAAACUGAAUUAAAAAGGACCAAACUUGUGUUGGGGGAGAAAUUGGUGGAAGAAAAAUAGGUUUUUACAAAUGGGACAUAUCUUCUUAGGAAAAGCAAGGGGGAAAAAAUGCCCCCAGUGCACCUCUAUAGGAAAGGCAUUUGGGUGAUUGUUCCAUUCUAAAUCCUCCUUUUUUUCCUGGUUACAUGAUCCAGAGUGGAGCUAUUAUGAAGCUCUUGGUAAGAAUCCCACAAGUCAUGUUCUGCCUACUUCCUUAACUUAUCAAUAUUAUUGUUUCCAACCCAACAGAAUGUUGGAGGAAAUUGAUAUAAAGGGGCCAACACUCUACUGACAGCCAAUCAGCAGGAAUGAAAACUGAAAGAGAACCAGACCCAAAUUUGUGUAUAGGAAGUAGCUGGCAACAGAAAGAUUGAAUUCAACGAUUAGUCAGAUCCCAAAUGCUGGAGUAUU
rnacentral:lncRNA from 1 species